GGAACUUUACUCAUGACUGUUAAGCCCAACAAAUAAGAACUGUAUGGGUUUUAAAUUAUACAUUUCCGUGGACCACUCUACUUUAAGCGGUGCGCGUUUUGCGAGGUACAUGCAAUUCUCGGAGGACAUGCGUUUCUCAGCACAACACCGCUAACAACAACGAUCGCAAAAUGAGCAACGAACAAGCGAAAACCACCGAAAAUGAAGAUUUGUUGCCAAAAAGAAAAGGAAAGUCAGUUAUCUGGAAUUAUUUCGGUUAAAAGAAGGACCAAAACACGUGUUCUGUGUUAAUCUGUUGCCACAAUAACGUCCCAGCACAAUAAGAGCUAAAAAUAUCUCUGAGACAGAAGCCAUUCUAACAUUCACAAAAAGAGGUAAGAUCAGUGCAGGGUAACUGUCCUCAAGAUUUCAGCAGUGCAGCAUAACAUUAAAUGCUAUUCAUGUCAUCUGGUGAAAAUUCCUGUAUUUUUAAUAUCGCAAUAUAUAUCGCAGGGUUGAAAAAAAUCGCAAUAUUAUUUUUUUCCAAUAUCGUGCAGCCUUA